CUCCUACUCCCUCCGUCCGGAAAAACUUGUCCCUCAAAUGGAUGUAUCUAGCACCAAGUUAGUGCUAGAUACAUCCAUUUGACAAACAAGCUUGGGACAAGUUUUUCCGGACGGAGGGAGUACCAA
rnacentral:pre_miRNA from 1 species